rnacentral:lncRNA from 1 species
GACUUUCGCACUACAUCAUAAGAAUAGGCCAAGAUGGGCUUGGUAAGCUAAGGUCCUUGGCUUCUAAGGUCUAUAUUGGAAAGAGUAAUGUCUAACCACAACUUACUUGUGUGAAAUUAUUUAUCCCAACAUGACCUCCACCAAGUGAAUGGACUUGCAAGUCAACUUGCUCAGGAAUAACUCCACACAAGUCAACAAGACUACGCCAUUCUCCUAUCCUAAGUGCACUCGAGUUCGGGUAUAGAAC